GAUGAGGCAGAACGAAUCAGAAACGGCAUGCUCACUUGGAGGUCUGCAGUCGAAAACAGGUUUCUUGAGAAAAGGCCAACUACCGAAAGCGAUAAUCAAAGAGGUAGUGUCUGAUAAAAAACUCUUUCUUCUGUAUAUUCAUUAUAUCUUCCAGAGAAUACAUAAGAAUGUUUAUAUAACAUUUACAAGGAAUCUAUUCUAGGAAUAUAAUAACAACUAUACACUAAUUUAGGCUAAACUGAAUAUUACAUAAUCUUUCAUCUUCUCUAGGCAUGGGCUUGGAUUAUGAGGCAACGUUUUCUGACGACGAUGACUUGGCUAGCGAGGUUAUUCUUUAAAUAUUUGGUUUUUGUAAUUCCUUAAUGAAAUGUAUUGGAGUUAUAGGAAAUUAAAAAGGAACCAUUCUUUGUCAUUUUGGAGGGGAAUAUCGUGAAUGGUUGGAGUUUGAUUGAUUCUGUUCAAAAGGAACAAUAGAGUGAUUUGGUGAUUGUUCUUAUAUCCGCUGUUUUAGUUUCUACAUGGGUUUGUGAUUCAGACUUUCUCAAUAUUUUCUCUCUCGUAUCAUCGUUUCUGCGUUGGUUCUUGGUUCUUGAUUCGUGGUUUAAACCCCUACGAUAUAAAAAAUAUUGGUUCAGCCUCUUAUUCUUACACCCUCAGUUUCAGUCUUUCUACAAGGCUUCUAAAUUCCUUCAAAUUUUGCUAUAUAUUGCUAUAGCAAUGGAAUGCUGCACUCAUUUAAGCCAAUUAAAAUGUAUAAGUUAAGCAUAUCUCUGCUUCUGCUUUUUUUUUUCCAUGUGUUUAUGUGCAUGUGUGUUAAUGCGUAUUCAUGUUAGUUUGUGUUUUGCGGAAGCGCUUUGUAUGGAUGCAGAGUUAGUGUGCGUUUAAGGGGUAUGUGUUCUAGUAGGUAGUGCACCAUUGACUCAAUUUUGUUGUAAAAUAUAAAAACCUCCCAACUUGACAAAAUACAUAGUGUAUGACCUCAUUCCAAAUCCGUUUGCAUCAGUUUCACGGUUUCUUUAGCAUUAUUGUAAAAGGAGAGAAUGAAAAAUGAAAUAACAAAAGUAGAUAUGUUUGUUGAAUAGUUAGAGUUGCAUUUAAGGCUUUGCAUCAAAUUAGUACUUAUGUGUCUAUAUUCACUUUAAUUGGCAGCAAUUUCUCAAAGAUAUGCUGAAGCUUCUGUGCGUGUACAUCGACAAUGGUGCCAAUCAAGGGUCAUACAAGCUCAAACCUGAAUAUCGAGGAUCAGACAAGAAAGAUAACUAGUACAAUGCUAUUCUUUUGAAUAUAUGUUUUGAACUUUACUCGAGAAUUUAGUGACUUGUCUUUUGGAAAAAC
rnacentral:lncRNA from 1 species